rnacentral:rRNA from 1 species
AGAUUGAACGCUGGCGGCAUGCCUAACACAUGCAAGUCGAACGGGAGUAGCAAUACUCUAGUGGCGGACGGGUGAGGAAUACGUAGGAAUUUGCCCUUAAGUGGGGGAUAACCCGGGGAAACCCGGAUUAAUACCGCAUGACCUCGAAAGAGCAAAGUGGGGGAUCGCAAGACCUCACGCUUUUGGAGAAGCCUACGUCGGAUUAGCUAGUUGGUGAGGUAAUGGCUCACCAAGGCGACGACGGGUAGCUGGUCUGAGAGGACGACCAGCCACACUGGAACUGAGAUACGGUCCAGACUCCUACGGGAGCAGCAGUGGGAAUCUUGCACAAUGGGC